GAAGUGGUUGAUUUGGCAUCCUCUACACAACAGUGGCAAACAUUCGACGUUUACGGCGUUCUCGUUGUACUUAUUGCUCCUGAUUUGUGUAAUUAGCUCGAACGGUGCAUCCGCCAUCUAUGCCAUCAGUUUCAUUACCACGGGCGUCAUUUGAUCGAACAGAACAGUAUAAUCGUUUACUGAUAUAACACAAGGAAGUCACUGCAAAUACUACACGGCAUGAGCGAUUAUCGUGUUCUGAGGCGCCUUGGUGCGGCAACUUGUGGUAACAGCUUUUGGCAACAGCCCGGGAGCGCCGGACUGUUGCCAAAAGCCGGAGGACAGAGAGGAGUUUGGCAUCCCUGACCAUUUACACAGGUAACACCUCGUAUAAGCUCGUCGUCGACGUGUUGAGCUUUUGUACGUUUGAGAUAUUUCAUACCUACAAAGAACAUCGAUAGCUAAGCUUACAGUAACGUAGGCUAACUAAAAUUGAUUCAUAUAACCUACAUGUAAAAGGCGCUUAACGAACUAUUGUUGGAGCCGUGGGACAAUUUAGACGUGAGACACUUGUAUGAUAAAUUCUUAAAUAAAUCAAUUAUAACCCAUAAUGAGAAAGCACUCUAGUCUCUAUGUAAGAUUUAAGGCUCUUAAACCUAGUAAUCUCUAAACUUUUAAAGUUA